GUGAAUCAUCAAAUUUUUGAACGCAAAUUGCACUCUCUGGUAUUCCGGAGAGUAUGCCUGUUUGAGGGUCAGUUUAAAUAAAAAUCGGUGUGGUUGCUGCGUUUCGUGGUGACGCAUCGGAUGUGGGUCGUCUAGCCAUAGGUUAAGUGACCUAAUAGUUUUCAUGAUUUUUUCGAACGUAUUUAAAUGAUUUUACGUACGUUUGCGAUAUCGAAUACUAGCUGCUGUCAUCCUCAUGAUGCGCGCGUAUAAUUUCUCAUUUA
rnacentral:misc_RNA from 1 species